rnacentral:lncRNA from 1 species
CACACUUGGCACAUUCAUGAUAACGAAAUUGAACUCUUGUUAAGUACUUAAAUCCUUUAUGCAUGACUAUUUUUCAGCUUUUACGUUGCUCUAUGCUCAUUGAUUUGUGUUAAUUUUACUUGUAUAGUGUGAAAUACAAAUUCCUUAUGCUUUUGUUGAGUGCAACAUAUAUUCCUUCUCUAUGAAAUAAUAAUUCCAGUGAUCCAAAGCUUAUUUGAUAGUGUGGUUUUCCCUGUCAUAGGUAGUUAUAACAGAUAAAACAUUCAAGUUUUAAACCUUGCAAUUCCUAAACAGUAUUUUCAACAGAGAUAAUGCAACCACAGUUCACCUGAUAUCUUUGCUCAACCAUUUCAUUUUCUUGGCUUCUCAAAUUUAGGUAUAAAUCUCACUUUUCAAAUGCUUGAUCCUGAGAGCUAUGAGAAACUAAAAGAGAAAUGAGCCUUGUAUAAAAACACAACCAGAUCUUUGAACCUUGUUAAGCCAUGUAGUAACUUUAUGGCAAUUGAGACUCAUCGCAAGUCUGGAUGGAAAUACAUAGCCCAAGAAAAAUGAAGCUUCUAGUCACAAGGUCAUGUUUCUUCAAAUUGGCAUAUAGCUCCUCUUGGCUCAAGAGCUAGAACACAUUUGAUGAUCUAGGAUGCAACGUGCUAUUAUGAUUCAUACUGUACUCUCAGAUGCUAUUAAAGCCUACACUAAGAUAAAUUUACUGAAAAGCAUCAAGAAACUACGUCUGUCAACCUCAAAGUGCAUGUAAGAUUUAACAACUUUAAUGAGAUUACCCACUUCUUUUAGACCAUCCUGCAUUUUAAACGCUGCAGUAUAGGCUGAAUUAUAAUUUUACAUCACUCUUUGUUCUAUCUUUGAACACCUAUUAGUAUUCAUAGAAAGAACCAAAUGUUUAACCAAUCCUUAUUCAAAUCCAACAAUCAGUGCUCAUUGUCUAGCACCAAUCCCCAGAAUUGGCGUAGCUAGAAACACACGAAAAUCAUCUCUUGUUUUUAGUAGCGCGCUGUGAUCCAUAUUCACAUCUUAUAGUUCGUUGUCAAAUAAAUAUCCCUAUAUUAGCUUAUGGCAAUGUUGAAUAUGUCGUGCAGUUGUAGAACCU